UACGUAGGGGGCAAGCGUUGUCCGGAUUUAUUGGGCGUAAAGAGCGUGUAGGCGGCCAGGUAGGUCCGUUGUGAAAACUAGAGGCUUAACCUCUAGACGUCGAUGGAAACCAUCUGGCUAGAGUCCGGAAGAGGCGAGUGGAACUCCUGGUGUAGCGGUGGAAUGCGCAGAUAUCAGGAAGAACACCAACGGCGAAGGCAGCUCGCUGGGACGGUACUGACGCUGAGACGCGAAAGCGUGGGGAGCGAACAGG
rnacentral:rRNA from 1 species